UUCGUCGUCGGAAAGGCAGCCAAGGCUACGUCGUUUGGAUCGCCUCCCGGACUUGCUAUGUCGCUCAUCCUCCAGAUCUUGACAUCACCGGAGUUUACCGGAUUCUGCAAAGAAGAUGUAGAAAUUGUCCAGGGUUAGAAUCAGUUUAUUCCUUCACCAAACUAAAUCAAAACCCUCCAGAAUUGAUGGAAAUAUUCAGAGGUUAAGAAUAGAAAUAGAAAUAAAUCUGAAACGAAAGCACAUGCAUGUGUUAGAUCUUGCUCUAUUUCAGUCCAACACAUAAAUCUGAAACGAAAGAACAAAAAAAAUUAACACACAUGGAGGAGGGAUUUACCUUCAUGCAUCUCAGUUUUCAUGAUUAUAGAGACACAGGGGUGUGUAUGUUGCUGGGCUUCAGGUUGCAGACAAUAAUGAAGAGCUAUGAGAGAGAGUGGAGCUGCUGUGAGAGAGAAGGCUGUAAGAAUGGGCGUUGGGCUUGAGGUUGGAGAAAUAAGAGCAUCUCUCAUAUUCUAGAGAGAGAGUGAGAGAGUG
rnacentral:lncRNA from 1 species